rnacentral:piRNA from 1 species
UGCAUGUAUGUCUGUGUGAAGGUGUCAAAU